GACGAACCGUGCGAACGUUGUUCGGAAUCACUGGGCUUAAAGGGCGCGUAGGCGGGCCCUCAAGUCCGGGGUGAAAUCCUCCCGCUUAACGGGAGAAGAGCCUCGGAGACUGAGGGCCUCGAGGGAGGUAGGGGCGUGCGGAACUAUGGGUGGAGCGGUGAAAUGCAUUGAUAUCCAUAGGAACUCCGGUGGCGAAGGCGGCACGCUGGACCUCUUCUGACGCUGAGGCGCGAAAGCCAGGGGAGCGAACGGG
rnacentral:rRNA from 1 species